UUAGCAUUCGAUAUUUCCCCAGCAAGUCACUAGGGCAUUCUUAAUUCUGCCUGCUCUGUGGACAUUGGCACACGGAAUCACAACUGUGUCUGUCCAUGUCCCUGACCCUGCUCUGCGCUCCAGUUUUUCACUUCUGUGUCUGGCUAGACUUCUUUAUGUUUCAUGUCACUUUGGGGCAAACACGAAGCUGUCAUUUUUGCACAAUCAUCUCUAGCUCUCAGAAGUUCGCCACUGAAGUUGUCUCAGGUUGUUCCAAUGCUGGAUGCUUUCGCUGACACCAGAAUUGCCUUGGAACUCACAAAAUACUCGGCCCCCAGGUAUGAUCGUGAACCACACAUACCUCUCUGUCCUGAUGCUUGGUGUAGACCCUGCCUCAGACUGUGCUUAAUAAACCUUACUCAAAAGGAGUGGAGACACUUUAACCACAUCAGACCCCGGAUGUUCCCAGACUCCUGACUGCCUGGGCUAAGCUGCUGACGAGGACACAGAAUGCAAAUUCACAGCUCGCAGGAUUUCGUGUCUGAGCAGUGAAUAUGUUGCACUUCACGAGAGCACUCAGAUGCAGAAACACAAAGCAUUGCUGAUUUUAAGCAAAAGUGUUACACCCAGUCUGCUAUGCUGAAUGCUUCUUGCGACGUGUUAUUGGGACGACUUUGGUGUGUGUGUGUGUGCGUGUGCAUAGGUGUGCACUCGUGUGUGUCAGCACAGGCAGCAGGAUGACUUGGGGUUCUCUCAGCAAGGGCUGUGGCCACGUUGGGCAGUUUGCAUCUUUAUUUAGCUGUUAGAUUCCUCCUCUCUGCCAAGAUCCAUACCAUCACCAACGCUUCCAGCAUCUGGUUCUCUUUCCUACGAAGACCUCAAGGGGAUUCACAUCAUUCUGGGUGGAUCGAAUUCAGAACCUUACGCUUGCCAGGCAGGCACUUAAGCUGCUGAGCUAUAUCCCCGGCUAUACACACCUUUCUAAGAUGUCCUACAUGAAACAAGUUCCAGACAUGCUUCAGAGGGAAGCCUCCUGCCUGCUCACGGUGAAGCUAGGAAAGAUCCCCAAGCUCUCCAGCACACACGUGCCCGCGUGAGUGGCCUGCUGCUGCAUCUCAGGGCCAUGCGCCUGUGCGAUCUCUGAUCUGACCCUGGAGCUCCCCGUGUGUGCUGCUGUCCUCCCUGGACUGCACGCUAGGGACGAAGAGAGGCGGAUGUGAAGUGUUCUUUCCCGGAGGGUCUGCCCUUGGUCCUCCGUGGACAGGUGGCCGGUGGCCUGGGUUCCUGAGGAUGGGCGAGGGCCUACAUCACUUCUCUAGAGAACAUGCUACACGCAUCGCGCAGAGCCCAGGGAACGGCAGUAACUGGGCAGUGUCUCCACCAGCGAGGACUGAGUUGCAGCGGGGCAGCCCCGUUCACCUUGUGCCACAGAUGGACAGGGAGGGUCCUAGCCACCUGCCUGUGGCUGGGACAAGCCACCUCCUAACAGCACGGUCAGCCGGAACUCCCCCGUGAUGAAUCCACUGACCAGCCCAGCGCCCCGUGGUCCGUCACCUUCCACACGCAGGAGGCUCUGGGGGACAUUUUAGACGCAAACUGCACUGGAAGAAAUGAAAUCCUGCCUGGAGGGAGGAGACCCUACCCGGCGUGCUGAUGCCAGCUAGAGAUGCCCAGCGCCCCGUCAUAGGCCCGUGCAGAAUCACCAUACAUGGCUCUGUGCCCUGAGCUCCCGGUUGUGGGUUGUGCAAGAGCGCAGCCGAAGCAGCCAGGGCACAAAGGAUGGGCGUGUAAGUGACUGCAAGCUGAAAGAUGGGGUCAGGGGAGAAGGGAGGGAGAGCCUAAGGCCAUGGGAGUCUGGGUGCUAAGAAUCAGCUGUAACAAGAAGGAAGUUCCCUGUGUGGUUCAUCCCCUGUGUCAGCCAGCUCUCCCAUUUUCAGGACAAAGUGCUUCGGGUCCACAACUGAAAGGAGGAAAUGGUUCAUUUGACUCAUGUUUUCGGGGCAUUCAGUCCAUGGCAGUUGGUUCCAAGGCGGAAGCAUCACGACAAAGGGCACGGGGAGCAAAGCUGCUCAGUUCAUGGCAGGCAGGGAGCAGAGAGCCUUCACCCCGUGAGCGCCUCCACACAGCCCCGCCCCCUCACAAACACUCAGCUAGGAUGGGAGGGGACCAGUCCACCAGCCAGCCGAUCCAGUCAGGUUGGCCGCUGGGGUUAACUGGUUCAUCCCACAUACAAUCUGCAGACUGCUACAUUCGGGAUGCGGUUUAAUCCCUACCACCUCCUCACAGAUGAGCAGACAGGCCUGAAGGUGGAGUCCUUCUGGCGACAGAGGAGAACUGAUGCCCAAGGUAACCUGGGUUCUCAGCACAUCUGUCACCAGAUCCACAGUGUGGAUUCAUUUCCUCUCUUACCCCCGAGCCACUGGCAGGUGUGACUAGGUCGCCCCAUCACCCAGGGGAAGGAGCACAAGGGCCUGACCUUCGCUGAGGAGGAGGAGCCUGGCGGUGUCUGUGGGGAGACAGGAGCAAGUGAGCAGUUACGGAUGAGGACAAAGAGGACCUACCACACCCGGUACCCAGGACGGACAGCUGGGCGUGACGGAAGUUCGAAAUACAGACUGUCUGCAAGGCA